CUGGCCUACCUCCCACAGUUAGCCAUUUCCACUUUGUACCCGCUACUACCCUACAAUCACUACUCUUUGUUCUCCUGUCAUUCCUACUCUGCCAGUUCUCAACAGGCAUCGACUUUCCACUGUUUGCUUUCUUGGCUCCUACUCCUGGUCUGCCAAGCAAUCCUGGGGAGACCUGUGAAACCACACUGGUGAACCCGCUACAAAUGCAUGCCUCCAGACCUCAGCUGGGUGCUCAUGGCAAUUCAACUACUUCUGACUCAGCUCGUGCUGAGUCCUCUUGACAUUUCCUACAACAACUGUUUUGAGCCUUUUCUACCUCCUUCUAAGCCCUUGACCCUGUCCUUCACCUUCAGGGAGUAACGGGGUUCUUGUUUGGAAUCAUGGCACUCCUUCUGAAGUUCUCUCCUUUCAAAAUGGAUGUUAUUCAAAAUCCACUCUACCUCCCUCUUCCGUCAUCCCUGCUUCUGAGGAAGCAUUUCUGUUUUCUAAGGUUAUAUCUUCAAUAUGUGCUAUUGAUUCCAUCUUCUUGCACAACUUCCAGGUCCUGAGAUGGGCAGUUACUUUGCUUCAUGUUGGCAUCACUAUGACUCUACAAGUUCCUACCUCUUGUUCCCAAAACAUGUUCAGGGCUCCAGAGUAAAAGGGGGAAAAAAUUUAAUUCUGAUCCUUUACAAUCAUCAUCUUUUUAUUUCUCUACUUACUCUUUCUUAAAAAGGGACAUCUAGGAUCAACUUUCCACUAUUCAUAUUCUCUUACUCCUCAAAGCCACCAUUUUCUAUCUUUUUGAGUACUUUCCAGGUCUUCUGAAGUACUGAAUUAUUCUAAGUUACUUCUCUUUUUGAACAACAACAAAAAACUCUCCUUCUCAGGUUUCCAUGAUGCUGCACCGCCUAGAGUCAUCCACUAACCCUCUCUAGUUCCACACCCAGACUCCUCUUUCUCCUAUGGAAUGCAGACUUUCCUCAGUAUUCUGUAUAAAUAUUCUCUUGGUGAGCUUAUGUAUCCCCCUGGCUUAAAUGUUCUUCCAUAAAGCAGUAUUUAUGAGAUGACUUUAAGUGGAACAUGAGCUGCCACUUUUUUUAUUUGGAUACUUUGUUUAAUCUAACCUUGGACAGCAUCAAUUGUAAGAGGCGCCAUUUAAAAUAUAUAACUUAGAAAAUGGCCACUAAUUAAAUUACAAUACAAUGCUUUCUUAUCACUUAACAUUUUAAUCUCAUACUCAUACAAAAGGAUCUUUUAGAUUUCUCACAUGGAGAGAUUUUUUUUUUUUUAAUAUACAUCACUCUUGUGCACACACUGAGGCAAUAUAAGCAAAACAAACAGGUGAAGAUUUACCUAAAGUUUUCUCACCAUCAUGUUUAACUCUUCUGAACCACUUUCCAGCUCAGAGUCAUGGAUAUCCUAGGAGCCAUCAGGAGCACGGGGGCUGAGACAUUUCUCAUGUGUCUUCAACUACUUCCGACUGGAACUCUCUUCCACAGUGUUGAUACUCAUUCUGCCAGCCUCCAGCAGAAACCAGGAAGGAGGGACGUGAAAAAAUUCUAAGGCAGACAGUAACUUCAAAGAGACAAAAUGUGCUGACUUCCUUUAUUGACACCAGAAGUUGAAGGCAUCUAAUGAACCUAUGUGAGUUUUACCUCUUGAGUACACCUGCUCCAUGGAAGAGAAGCGCAGAGAAGAGGUGGUCAAAGGAGAGUUACAGGAAGCAGGAGGGAAAGCAUGAAGCCUUGACAAUCCCCAAACUGAAUAAACAAUACAAGCUCGCAAGUCGAAUGGUCAAUGUAAACACAGUCAAUGAAACAUCAGGACUGGAAAACAAGUCUACUGAGAGAACCUAUGGAAAGACCAUUUGGUCAGUUGCCAAGAAUGCAAUGAAGCUACAGCACUGAAAGGCUA